rnacentral:rRNA from 1 species
CCUACGGGAGGCAACAGUGAGGAAUAUUGGGCAAUGGACGAGAGUCUGAACCAGCGAAGUAGCGUGAAGGAUGACAGCCCUAUGGGUUGUAAACUUCUUGUAUAUGGGAAGAAAACAGGGUAAGCAGACACUCGUGUAUGUACCAUAUGAAUAAGGAUCGGCUAACUCCGUGCCAGCAGCCGCGGUAAUACGGAGGAACCGAGCGUUAUCCGGAUUUAUGGGGUUUCAAGGGAGCGUAGGUGGAUUGUGAAGUCAGUAGUGAAAGUUUGCGGCUCCACCGUAAAAUUGCAGUUGAAACUGGCAGUCUUGAUUACAGUAGCGGUGGGCCGACUUCCUUGUGUAGCGGUG